UACGUAGGCAGCGAGCGUUGUUCGGAAUUACUGGGCGUAAAGGGCGCGUAGGCGGCAGAUCAAGUCAGCUGUGAAAUCUCCGAGCUUAACUCGGAACUGUCAGCUGAUACUGUUUUGCUAGAGUGCGGAAGGGGCAAUCGGAAUUCUUGGUGUAGCGGUGAAAUGCGUAGAUAUCAAGAGGAACACCUGAGGUGAAGACGGGUUGCUGGGCCGACACUGACGCUGAGUGCGCGAAAGCCAGGGGAGCAAACGGG
rnacentral:rRNA from 1 species